GAUGAAGAACGCAGCGAAAUGCGAUAAGUAAUGUGAAUUGCAGAAUUCAGUGAAUCAUCGAAUCUUUGAACGCACAUUGCGCCCUUUGGUAUUCCGAGGGGCAUGCCUGUUCGAGCGUCAUUUCAACCCUCAAGCUUCUGCUUGGUAUUGGGCUUUCAUCCAUUUCUUUCGGGAGGAGGAUGUGCCUAAAACUCAUAGGCGGUUUUAAUCGACUCCUUUGCGUAGUUAUUUUUUCUUUCGCUCUGGAUUUUUUUGGUUAUAAACUCGCCUAAAAACCUUUUUUUAUAUUUUCUAAGGUUUGACCUCGGAUCAGGUAGGGAUACCCGCUGAACUUAAGCAUAUCAAUAAGCGGAGGA
rnacentral:misc_RNA from 1 species